rnacentral:rRNA from 1 species
GUGGGGAAUUUUGGACAAUGGGCGCAAGCCUGAUCCAGCAAUGCCGCGUGCAGGAAGAAGGCCUUCGGGUUGUAAACUGCUUUUGUACGGAACGAAACGGUCCGGGUUAAUACCCUGGGCUAAUGACGGUACCGUAAGAAUAAGCACCGGCUAACUACGUGCCAGCAGCCGCGGUAAUACGUAGGGUGCAAGCGUUAAUCGGAAUUACUGGGCGUAAAGCGUGCGCAGGCGGGUUUGUAAGACAGAUGUGAAAUCCCCGGGCUCAACCUGGGAACUGCAUUUGUGACUGCAUGGCUAGAGUACGGUAGAGGGGGAUGGAAUUCCGCGUGUAGCAGUGAAAUGCGUAGAUAUGCGGAGGAACACCGAUGGCGAAGGCAAUCCCCUGGACCUGUACUGACGCUCAUGCACGAAAGCGUGGGGAGCAAACAGGAUUAGAAACCCGGGUAGUCC